rnacentral:rRNA from 1 species
UACGGAGGAUGCAAGCGUUAUCCGGAAUGAUUGGGCGUAAAGCGUCCGCAGGUGGCGAUUCAAGUCGAUUGUCAAAGGUCUCGGCUCAACUGAGAACAGGCAGUGGAAACUGAACAGCUAGAGUGCGGUAGGGGUAGAGGGAAUUCCCGGUGUAGCGGUGAAAUGCGUAGAGAUCGGGAAGAACACCAGUGGCGAAAGCGCUCUACUAAACCGCAACUGACACUCAGGGACGAAAGCUAGGGGAGCGAAUGGG